UACGUAGGGGGCGAGCGUUGUCCGGAAUUAUUGGGCGUAAAGAGCUCGUAGGCGGUUCGGCAAGUCACGUGUGAAAUCUCCACGCUCAACGUGGAGGCGCCACGUGAGACUGCUGUGACUCGAGUCCGGUAGGGGAGCGUGGAAUUCCCGGUGUAGCGGUGAAAUGCGCAGAGAUCGGGAGGAACCCCCGUAGCGAAGGCGGCGCUCUGGGCCGGUACUGACGCUGAGGAGCGAAAGCGUGGUGAGCAAACAGG
rnacentral:rRNA from 1 species